rnacentral:rRNA from 1 species
AACGAACGCUGGCGGCAUGCCUAACACAUGCAAGUCGAACGAGAUCUUCGGGUCUAGUGGCGCACGGGUGCGUAACGCGUGGGAAUCUGCCCUUUGGUUCGGAAUAACAGUUGGAAACGACUGCUAAUACCGGAUGAUGACGAAAGUCCAAAGAUUUAUCGCCAGAGGAUGAGCCCGCGUAGGAUUAGCUAGUUGGUGUGGUAAAGGCGCACCAAGGCGACGAUCCUUAGCUGGUCUGAGAGGAUGAUCAGCCACACUGGGACUGAGACACGACCCAGACUCCGACGGGAGGCAGCAGUGGAGAAUAUUGGACAAUGGGCGAAAGCAUGAUCCAGCAAUGCCGCGUGAAUGAUGAAGGCCUUAGGGUUGUAAAGCUCUUUUACCCGGGAUGAUAAUGACAGUACCGGGAGAAUAAGCUCCGGCUAACUCCGUGCCAGCCGCCGCCGUAAUAC